CUGCUGCUCCUGAAGGUGAAGACGAAGUUGAGGGCGGUCGGUGCUAUUCCUCUUUUCUGUUCCCCUUGCUGUGUUCUGUUCUCUCUGCGCUUACUCCCUUGUUCUCCUUCGUGUCCGUCUGUUCGGAGUGGGGAGAAGGUGGUGCCACCGGAGACGAGGCUAACACUGGUCUGGACAAUGACGAAGAUAUAUGAAGGUGUGGUGGCUGGCCAAAACUUCUCCUCCACCUCUGUUUCGUUCCUCCGUGUUCGUCUGUAUUUAUUUUUGUUGCUGCUCUGUUCGUG
rnacentral:lncRNA from 1 species